UGUUGACGGAUUUGAAGCUAACGGUGUUAAUCUGUCAAGUGGGGCCAAAAUAUAAGUGACUCGCAGUGACCUACUAGCUGCUGCAGUUGAUAUUUGCUGCCGCUGUCGACGUUGGCGUUGCUGCCGCUGUCGGCCCAUGCCCAUCCACAGCAGCCGGUUGGCGCCGUCCACCGCGACGCUGAAGAUGCCGCAGGCGCCCAGCUCCGCGCGCACCCACCGGUCCCACCACCGCGCGCUUCGAUGUCGGCGAGCGGGCGCGCGGCGGCCCGGAAGGCACGGCGCGGGCACGCCCGGGCGCUGCUGGCGGCCGUGAAGCGCGAGGCCGAGCUGGAGCGCACGGCCGUGCGCUCCGCCGCAAGUGGAGCUCGAGGAGGAGGCCCGCCAGGCGGGGGCCGAGUGCCAAGCGUGGAUUGGCGCCGCCCAGAUCCACGAGGCCGUUGCGGCCGGCCUCCGCAGCACGCUGGAGCAGCUCCUCUGGUCCCCCGCGCGGCCGCGUCCGUGGGCGAGCCCGAGGACGCACGGUCGGGCUGCUUCGAGGCUGGUCAGGAAGAAGCAGCUGUAGCCGGUCGCCAUCGACUGGCUCCUCGGCACGGAUCUCUGCCGGCCAUGGCGCGCGCGAGCAUGGCCUCCUCGUUGGCGUGCUCAGUCUGAAGGGGAGGAGAUAGGAGGUAGCCACUUACAGGUGGGGCCAGGGUCCACAUAUCAGGAUGCCUAACGGCGAGAAUGGAUGGAAGGAGGACGGAAGAGUAUCCAGGGAUAUAUAGGUAAAAGACUCUAUAUUCCGGUGAUGGAUCCAAAAAUUAAGCAAUAGAGGAGAGCAGAUCAAGUCAACUAGCUGCAAACCCAAGUAGAUCAAGUCCGUCCUUCGCGGUGCUUGUGUGACUCGCGCUAGGCCAUCGGCUGAGGAGAGGCUCAAGCACGCAGCUCCGUGGUUGACGAGGUUGCUGGCGCCGAGCAAAGACGGAGGCCAAGGAUAUGCCCAAGAAACAUUCAUAUCCCGUUCAUUUUGAUUAGCUUGUUUCUUUAAAGCACACAGAUUGAUUUUUCUCUUUGUUUGGAUCUUGUUUGUGCGCCUGGGUGGAAGGAAGAACGGGCUGGUAGUUCUGCUGCUCGCGCAUCCCGCAAUGUCCGCGGUGUCUGAUUUUUUAGUGUUCUUGCAUCGUCGAACAGAGUCCUGAGGUCGAUUUUCACUCUGACAACGACAGUUCGACCGUCGCAGUGUGUAUUGUUCGGUUUUGAAUCCCCACUAUUCGAUUUUACCACA